AGGAAAAGAAACUAACAAGGAUUCCCCUAGUAACUGCGAGUGAAGCGGGAAGAGCUCAAAUUUGAAAUCUGGCGGCUCUUUGACCGUCCGAGUUGUAAUCUAGAGAAGUGCUACCCGUGCUGGACUGUGUACAAGUCUCCUGGAAUGGGGCAUCGUAGAGGGUGAGAAUCCCGUCUUUGACACGGACUGCCAGUGCGCCCUGGGUGUGCUCUCGAAGAGUCGAGUUGUUUGGGAAUGCAGCUCAAAAUGGGUGGUAAAUGCCAUCUAAAGCUAAAUAUUGGCGAGAGACCGAUAGCGAACAAGUACCGUGAGGGAAAGAUGAAAAGAACUUUGGAAAGAGAGUUAAACAGUACGUGAAAUUGCUGAAAGGGAAACGCUUGGAGUCAGUCGCGUUGGCCAGAAAUCAGCCUUGCUCCUGCUUGGUGUACUUUCUGGUCUUUUACGGGUCAGCAUCAAUCUUGACCGCCGGACAAAGUCUUUGGGAAUGUGGCAUCUUUUGGAUGUGUUAUAGCCCAGGGUCGCAUACGGCGGCUGGGAUUGAGGAACUCAGCACGCCCGCAAGGGAUGGGUCCUUGGACCACAAAUUUUUUCGUGCUUAGGAUGCUGGCAUAAUGGCUUCAAUCGACCCG
rnacentral:rRNA from 1 species